AUCUUCAUCCUGCUUGGUCUGGCAGUCAUCAUUGCUGCAGACAGCCCAGAAAUUUUCGCUUAUGGACCUCCUCGGGGUUCCUCCGAAGAAUCAUUUGAGUCGUUUGAGUCAGGAGAAGCCAAGUACGACUUCAAUUAUGCCGUUCAGCACGAAGACUCUGGCAAUGACUUCGGCCACGAGGAAGCUCGUGACGGAGACCACACUCAGGGAUCCUACUACGUGAGGCUUCCCGAUACCCGUCUGCAGAACGUCAAGUACGUCGUAGACGGUGACGACGGCUACGUGGCCGAGGUGAACUACGAGGGCGAGGCCCGUUUCCCCGACUCGUAUGAGUCUGCUUCCUUUGAGUCUCGUGAAUAUAGUCCACCAAGGCCAGUCUACACCUAUGACUCAAACGAGUCUAAGUAAACUUUUAGAUUUUGGACUAAUGAAAAAA